CUACUACUCCCUCCGUCUGAAAUACUUGUCAUUGAAAUGGAUGUAUCUAGAUGUAUUUUAGUUCUAGACACAUCCAUUUUGAUGACAAGUAAUUCCGGACGGAGGGAGUAGUAU
rnacentral:pre_miRNA from 1 species